rnacentral:misc_RNA from 1 species
CGAGGAUGGCAAUUUUUUUUUUUUCUUGGGGUCUUAUCUUGGCAGAUGCUGUAUCCCCAUCCCACACAAACCGCCAUAAUUAAAAAUUAUUGGUUUAGAUUUUAUGAAUGCCAUCAGCCAAAGUAUUCCAGCCUAUAAACCCAGUAGCUCACGAGUACAGCAAUGUUUUCAACAAAUGAAACUAAUUAUCAAUAUAUGCAAAUGGCAACUCAUAGAAUCACCAAAAUAAAUAAAUAACUAAAGAGAUUCAUAUAUGAUGGCAAGUGUAAUGAAUGGUAUCUUUAUGAAAGUUCACCAAAACUAAUUAAGCUCAGAGCCAGUAGAAUGAAAUGGAUAUAAAAAUACACUUCAUGUUAAAAAGUAGACAUUGCUAAUACCAAAUUGAUAAACCCAAGCAGAUGAAUCUAUUUGCUCAUUGUUGAUGAUAAGCAGAAGUUCCAAAAUAUAGACCCGAUGGACAUGAAAGCUACACGAGCUUGAAGUGGGACCACCCUACAAAAAUGCCAAACACAUGGCGUAAGCAUGUACUCCAUCUAGUCAUGUAGUACCACUAAUCAUUAAGAAUAAAGUGAUGAAAGUUUAUGCUAGAGAGCCAUAUCCUAAGUAAUAGUUAGUCAAGUGAAUCUGAAUGUAAUGCUAUGACUUAUCCUGUCAAUUAUCUUGAUCAACCAAACUAAGAACAAAGACCUAGUAAUGAAGUGGAAUUUACAUAAUUGGUUGAUGUUCUAAAGUUCAAUUCUGAAAUUGACAGAAUUUGUCAUCUUUUCAUAACUGAUGGAUAUUCUAAAGUUUUUCAAAACCAAUAUUGCACCAUAAUCCUUGACCAUUUUAUUGAUAAGCUGAGGUUUAUGAGCCUAGGGCAUAAUAUUAAGCAACCAAACUACCCAAGUCCAAAUUAAUCGGCUUCAAUAGCUUAUCCUGAAAAAAUUGUUUCAAAGGAAUACUUUGGAAUCUCUUGAAAGCCGAAAAUAGUUAGAUCACAAAAUUUAUUGAGGGAUGAGGGAAAGAAAAAAAUAAUGAUAACUAUGAUGUUGCAAUUCUAAUUAAAUAACAUUCUUAUUCAUCAUAGGAAACAAGAGCAAUUACCCAGUAAUCAUCCUCAUUGUCUAAACUUACUACUGAAUAUAAUGUCUUAACCACGUCCACUCAGACAAAGGUGACCAUAAACCAGAGAAUAUUAACAACGAGAUCUUCAAAUUUGCCUAAUGUGUCAAGAUUCUUCACAUGCACAAGGUUUUAAGCCAUGAAACAGAGACUUCAUAACUAUAAUUUUAGUGAAAGCUUUGUCACUUGAAUUGAAAUAAUUUAUUGAAGCAUUUUUCAUGAUGCAAAAUCCAUCAUGCUAAGCAUAUAUCAUAUCUAUGUUUUCCUGCAGCUGGUGCAAGUAGGAAAAUUAGCUGAUGAAAUAUUCUGUGGUCAUUCCAAACCUAUGUCAAUAUUUUUGGGAACUUCAAACAAAUUACAAGACAUUAUUUUUGUGGUCUUAAGUAACAGUUGUAUAUGGAUGCAUGGAUUUAGAUAAUCUGGUAAAUGAUAUAAAACCACCUUCAAAGGUGUUAUACCUGUUCUGUUUCAUUUUGAGAUUUAAAUUAAAUGAUUAUUCUCAUCACUAUUAUGUUCUAAAUUCAAGUGUUUUGAGAUAGAGUAAGACUUCUUUUGCCAUAGCCCCAAAAAUUCAAGAAGGCAAAAAACAUGAUGUAUGAGGGAUUUAUUGUAUGUUUUAGAAAGGAAAAAGAAAGGUAGUUAGGCAGACGUACCAAAAAUUCAAUGCACUGACUGGGAUCCAGAAUCUAAAUCCAUAAAGCAGCGUGGGAAGAGCAUCCUUUUGGUACUUCCCUGGAAGCUGCGAAAUCUUCCCUUGCCAUAAAUUGUUCCAUGCAAAGACAACAGCAAUAACAGAUGGACCAAGCACUAUUUGAUUCAACAAAACCUUUAACAUCAGAUUCUUCGCUGACUGCUUAGGCAAACAAUAAUCAAGAUAUUGAUACCAUGCAUAAGAACCAGGUCCAUAAAAAAGAAACCCAUAAGAAGUCAUCCGCAAUGCACGAAGCCAAUCAUGGUU